rnacentral:rRNA from 1 species
UACGUAGGUGACAAGCGUUGUCCGGAUUUACUGGGCGUAAAGAGCGCGCAGGCGGUCGUUCAAGUCGAGUGUGAAAGCCCCCGGCUCAACUGGGGAGGGUCAUUCGAUACUGAUCGACUCGAAGGCAGGAGAGGGAAGUGGAAUUCCCGGUGUAGUGGUGAAAUGCGUAGAUAUCGGAAGGAACACCAGUGGCGAAGGCGACUUCCUGGCCUGUUCUUGACGCUGAGGCGCGAAAGCUAGGGGAGCAAACGGG